rnacentral:pre_miRNA from 1 species
GUUUUUCCACAACUGAAUUUGCUUGCGUGCUCGAACGUUCUCUUGUCUCUAGCACCAUUUAAAUUCAGGAUUGGUGAAA